GGCCUCGUAGCUCAGCUGGUAGAGCAUGCGCGUACAAAGCGUAGGCGGUGUCCAUGUGUGGGUUCGAAUCCCACCGAGGCUA
rfam:Echinostoma caproni strain Egypt genome assembly, scaffold: ECPE_scaffold0019812